AUACGGAGGAUGCGAGCGUUAUCCGGAUUCAUUGGGUUUAAAGGGUGCGUAGGCGGCUUUUUAAGUCAGUGGUGAAAUCCUGCCGCUUAACGGUAGAAUUGCCAUUGAUACUGAAGAGCUUGAGUACAAUUGAGGUAAGCGGAAUGUGCGGUGUAGCGGUGAAAUGCAUAGAUAUUGCACAGAACUCCGAUUGCGAAGGCAGCUUACUAAGCCAUUACUGACGCUGAGGCACGAAAGCGUGGGGAGC
rnacentral:rRNA from 1 species